rnacentral:rRNA from 1 species
UACGUAGGGUGCAAGCGUUGUCCGGAUUUAUUGGGCGUAAAGAGCUCGUAGGCGGUUCGUUAUGUCGGAUGUGAAAGCCCUUGGCUUAACCGAGGAAGUGCAUCCGAAACUGGCGAGCUAGAGUACGAAAGAGGAUCGCGGAAUUCCCGGUGUAGAGGUGAAAAUUCGUAGAUAUCGGGAGGAACACCGGUGGCGAAGGCGGCGAUCUGGGUCGAUACUGACGCUGAGGUGCGAAAGCGUGGGGAGCAAACAGG